GUGGGGAAUUUUGGACAAUGGGCGAAAGCCUGAUCCAGCAAUGCCGCGUGCAGGAUGAAGGCCUUCGGGUUGUAAACUGCUUUUGUACGGAACGAAACGGUCCUGGUUAAUACCCGGGGCUAAUGACGGUACCGUAAGAAUAAGCACCGGCUAACUACGUGCCAGCAGCCGCGGUAAUACGUAGGGUGCAAGCGUUAAUCGGAAUUACUGGGCGUAAAGCGUGCGCAGGCGGUGCUGUAAGACAGGCGUGAAAUCCCCGGGCUUAACCUGGGAAUUGCGCUUGUGACUGCAGUGCUGGAGUGCGGCAGAGGGGGAUGGAAUUCCGCGUGUAGCAGUGAAAUGCGUAGAUAUGCGGAGGAACACCGAUGGCGAAGGCAAUCCCCUGGGCCUGCACUGACGCUCAUGCACGAAAGCGUGGGGAGCAAACAGGAUUAGAAACCCGGGUAGUCC
rnacentral:rRNA from 1 species